GAUGAAGAACGUAGCGAAAUGCGAUAAGUAAUGUGAAUUGCAGAAUUCAGUGAAUCAUCGAAUCUUUGAACGCACAUUGCGCCCGCCAGUAUUCUGGCGGGCAUGCCUGUUCGAGCGUCAUUACAACCCUCAGGCCCCUGGGCCUGGCGUUGGGGAUCGGCGGAAGCCCCCUGCGGGCACAACGCCGUCCCCCAAAUACAGUGGCGGUCCCGCCGCAGCUUCCAUUGCGUAGUAGCUAACACCUCGCAACUGGAGAGCGGCGCGGCCACGCCGUAAAACACCCAACUUCUGAAUGUUGACCUCGAAUCAGGUAGGAAUACCCGCUGAACUUAAGCAUAUCAAUAAGCGGAGGA
rnacentral:misc_RNA from 1 species